UACGUAGGGUGCAAGCGUUGUCCGGAAUUAUUGGGCGUAAAGAGCUCGUAGGCGGCUUGUCGCGUCGUCCGUGAAAACCUGCGGCUCAACUGCAGGCUGGCGGUCGAUACGGGCAGGCUGGAGUUCGGUAGGGGAGACUGGAAUUCCUGGUGUAGCGGUGAAAUGCGUAGAUAUACGGAGGAACACCUGCGGCGAAGGCGGGUAGCUGGGCCAACACUGACGCUGAGACGCGAAAGCUAGGGGAGCAAACGGG
rnacentral:rRNA from 1 species